CACACACCAUCCCUGGGGCAGGUCUCCAGCUCAGACACCAUCCCUGGGGCAGGUCUCCAGCUCAGACACCACCCCUGGGGCAGGUCUCCAGGUCACACACCAUCCCUGGGGCAGGUCUCCAGGUCACACACCAUCCCUGGGGCAGGUCUCCAGCUCAGACACCAUCCCUGGGGCAGGUCUCCAGGUCACACACCAGGAGGGGAGGCUGGUGGGGCCACAGUGAG